rnacentral:rRNA from 1 species
AGGGAUCAUUACCGAG